AGUUUGAUUAUGCUCAGAUUGAACGCUGGCGGGAUGCUUGUACAUGCAAAAGUCGAACGGCAGCACGGACUUCGUCUGGCGGCGAGUAAGAACGGGUAGCAAUGUACCGGAACGUGCCUAGUAGCGGGGGGAUAACUACGUGAGCGGGGUGAAGCAUACCGUAAUACGCCCUUCGGGGGAAAGCGGGGGGACCUUCGGGCCUCGCACUAUUAGAGCGGCCGAUAUCGGAUUAGCUAGUUGGUAACGGCUCACCAAGGGACAGAUCCGUGAAGCUGGUUUGAGAGGACGACCAGCCACAUCGGGACUGGAGACACGGCCCAGACUCCUACGGGAGGCAGCAGUGGGGAAUUUUGGACAAUGGGGAAACCCUGAUCCAGCCAUCCUGGGCGUGUGCGAUGAAGGCCUUCGGGUUGUAAAGCACUUUUGGCAGGAAAGAAACGCACGGGAUAAUACCCCGUGCAACUGACGGUACCUGCAGAAUAAGCACCGGCUAACUACGCCAGCAGCCGCGGCGCGUAGGGUGCAAGCGUUAAUCGGAAUUACUGGGCGUAAAAGCGUGCGUAUGGUUCGGAAAGAAAGAUGCGAACCCAGAGCUAACUUUGAACCUGCAUUUUUAACUACCGAGCUAGAGUGUGUCAGGGAGGGAGGUGGAAUUCCGCGUGUAGCAGUGAAAUGCGUAGAUAUGCGGAGGAACACCGAUGGCGAAGGCAGCUUCCUGGGGGAUAACACUGACGCUCAUGCACGAAAGCGUGGGAGCAAACAGGAUUAGAUACCCUGUAACUACGCUCCAAACGAUGUCAACUAGCUGUUGGGGCCUUCGGGCCUUGGUAGCGCAGCUAACGCGUGAAGCGACCGCCUGGGGAGUACGGUCGCAAGAUUAAAACUCAAAGGAAUUGACGGGGACCCGCACAAGCGGUGGAUGAUGUGGAUUACUCCGAUGCAACGCGAAAACCUUACCUACCCUGACAUGUCUGGAAUCCCGAAGAGAUUUGGGAGGUUUGCAAGAGAACCGGAACACAGGUGCUGCAUGGCUGUCGUCAGCUCGUGUCGUGAGAUGCUGGGUUAAGUCCCGCAACGAGCGCAACCCUGUCAUUAGUUGCUACGAAAGGGCACUCUGACGACUGCCAAGACAAACCGGAGGAAGGUGGGAUGACGUCAAGUCCUCAUGGCCCUUAUGGGUAGGGGUCACACGUCAUACAAUGGUCGGGACAGAGGGUCGCCAACCCGCGAGGGGGAGCCAAUCCCAGAAACCUGAUCGUAGUCCGGAUCGCAGUCUGCAACUCGACUGCGUGAAGUCGGAAUCGCUAGCAAUCGCGGAUCAGCAUGUCGCGGUGAAUAUCAGCGUUCUGCAUCUUGUACACACCGCCCGUCACACCAUGGAGUGGGGUUUUACCAGAAGUAGUUAGCCUAACCGUAAGGAGGGCGAUUACCACGGUAGGAUUCAGACUGGGGUGAAGUCGUAACAAGGUAG
rnacentral:rRNA from 1 species